rnacentral:lncRNA from 1 species
CAAGACCCCAUCUGUACAAAAAGUAAAAAUAUUAGUGAGCAAAGUGGUGUGCACCUGCAGUUUUAGCUGCUUGGAAGGCUGAGGUGGAAGGAUUGCUUGAGCCUGGUAGUUUGAGGCUGCAGUGAGCCAGAUGGAGCCACUGCUCUCCAGCCUGGGCAAAAGAGUGAGAGAUUGUAACAGACAUAAUGAAAACCACUUAGGAUUAGCAAAGGUUGAUUAUUGUUUCACAAUGUGGUUGUUCUGUCUUUGGGAAACCAAGACAGACUGCAAGUCUGGUCACAUGGUGGUUUGGUGUAAGAGACUUUCUUGCUCCAUUGUGGAACUGGGUGUGUGUCCCCAUGUCUCAACAACUGCUGAGGCCUUCAUUCUGGAUGAACAAAGCUGUAGAU